CUGACACAGGGAGGUAGUGACAAGAAAUAACAAUGCCGGGCUCUUACGAGUCUGGCAAUUGGAAUGAGAACAAUUUAAAUCCCUUAUCGAGGAUCCAUUGGAGGGCAAGUCUGGUGCCAGCAGCCGCGGUAAUUCCAGCUCCAAUAGCGUAUAUUAAUGUUGUUGCAGUUAAAAAGCUCGUAGUUGGAUUCCUGGCACGGGGUAGCCGGUCCGCCUUGCAAAAGGUGCGCACUGAGCGGCCUCGGCCAUCCUUGCGAUGGUCUAUCCUGGCAUUCAGUUGUCGGGGUGGGGAUUCGCGACGUUUACUGUGAAAAAAUCAGAGUGUUCAACGCAGGCUUACGCCUUGAAUACAUUAGCAUGGAAUAAUGAGAUAGGACCUUGGCGGUCUAUUUUGUUGGUUUGCACGCCGAGGUAAUGAUUAAAAGGGACGUUGGGGUUCUUCGUAUUCAAUUGUCAGAGGUGAAAUUCUUGGAUUUAUGGAAGACGAACUGCUGCG
rnacentral:rRNA from 1 species